rnacentral:rRNA from 1 species
ACGAACGCUGGCGGCGCGCCUAACACCUGCAAGUCGAACGCGCGAGAGAGAGCUUGCUUUCUUCAGCGAGUGGCGAACGGGUGAGUAACGCGUGAGGAACCUGCCUCAAAGAGGGGGACAACAGUUGGAAACGACUGCUAAUACCGCAUAAGCCCACGGUGCCGCAUGGCACAGAGGGGAAAGGAGCAAUCCGCUUUGAGCUGGCCUCGCGUCCGAUUAGCUAGUUGGUGAGGUAACGGCCCACCAAGGCGACGAUCGGUAGCCGGACUGAGAGGGUGAACGGCCACAUUGGGACUGAGACACGGCCCAGACUCCUACGGGAGGCAGCAGUGGGGAAUAUUGCACAAUGGGGGAAACCCUGAUGCAGCGACGCCGCGUGGAGGAAGAAGGUCUUCGGAUUGUAAACUCCUGUUGUUGGGGAAGAUAAUGACGGUACCCAACAAGGAAGUGACGGCUAACUACGUG